rnacentral:rRNA from 1 species
GAUGAACGCUGGCGGCGUGCCUAAUACAUGCCAGUCGAGCGAACGGACGAGAAGCUUGCUUCUCUGAUGAUAGCGGCGGACGGGUGAGUAACACGUGGAUAACCUACCUCUAAGACUGGGAUAACUUCGGGAAACCCGAGCUAAUACCGGAUAAUCUUUUGAACCGCAUGGCUCACAAGUGAAAGACGGUCUUGCUGUCACUUAUAGCUGGAUCCGCGCUGCAUUAGCUAGUUGGUAAGUUAACGGCUUACCAAGGCAACGAUGCAUAGCCGACCUGAGAGGGUGAUCGGCCACACUGAGACGGAGACACGGUCCAGACGCCUAGGGGAGGCAGCAGAGGGGGAUCUGCCGCAACGGGCGAAAGCCUGACGGAGCAACGCCGCGUGAGUGAUGAAGGUGUUCGGAUCGUAAAACGCUGUUAGUAGGGAAGAACAUAUGUGGAAGGAACGUGGCACAGCGUGACGGUACCUAAUCAGAAAGCGACGGCUAACUACGUG